rnacentral:rRNA from 1 species
UACAGAGGUCCCAAGCGUUGUUCGGAUUCACUGGGCGUAAAGGGUGCGUAGGUGGUUGGAUAAGUCUGAUGUGAAAUCUCCGAGCUCAACUUGGAAAUGGCAUUGGAUACUAUUUGACUAGAGAGUUGGAGGGGGGACUGGAAUACUUGGUGUAGCAGUGAAAUGCGUAGAUAUCAAGUGGAACACCAGUGGCGAAGGCGAGUCCCUGGACAACUUCUGACACUGAGGCACGAAAGCUAGGGGAGCAAACAGG